rnacentral:lncRNA from 1 species
CUCUGCAAUCCGUAAGGUAGACCUAUAAGAUCCCUUCCCACUCAACCCAACCAUUUUACGUCCCUCUGACCUAUAAGGUCCCUUCCAACCCAACCACUCUAUGAUCUAUGAGGUCCCUUCCAACCCAACCCAACCAUUCCAUGGCUCCAUGACCGAUAAGAUCCCUUCCAACCCAACCACUCUACAGCUCUGUGAUCUACAAAGUCUUUUCCAACCCAACCACUCUAUGAUCUGUGAGGCCCCUUCCAACCCAACCCAACCAUUCUAUGCCUCCGUGAUCAAUUAAGAUCCUUUCCAACCCAACCAUUUGGUGGCUCUGUGAUCCAUAAGGACUCUUCCAAUCCCACCCAACCCAACCACACUACAGCUCUGUGACCCACACAGUCCCUUCCAACCCAACCACUCUACAACUCUAUGAUCUAUGAGGUCCCUUCCAACACAACCACUCUAUGAUCUAUGAGGUUCCUUCCAACCCAACCCAUGGCUCUUCAAUCCAUAAAGUCGACCUAUAAGAUCCCUUCCCACUCAACCCAACCAUUUUACGUCCCUAUGACCUAUAAGGUCCCUUCCAACCCAACCACUCUAUGAUCUAUGAGGUCCCUUCCAACCCAACCCAACCCAACCCAACCAUUCCAUGGCUCCAUGACCGAUAAGAUCCCUUCCAACCCAACCACUCUACAACUCUAUGAUCUAUGAGGUCCCUUCCAACCCAACCCAUGGCUCUUCAAUCCAUAAAGUCGACCUAUAAGACCCCUUCCCACUCAACCCAACCAUUUUACGUCCCUAUGACCUAUAAGGUCCCUUCCAACCCAACCACUCUGUGAUCCAUAAGGACCCUUCCAAACCCACCCAACCCAACCACACUACAGCUCUGUGACCCACACAGUCCCUUCCAACCCAACCACUCUACGACUCUAUGAUCUAUGAGGUCCCUUCCAACCCAACCCAUGGCUCUUCAAUCCAUAAAGUCGACCUAUAAGAUCCCUUCCCACUCAACCCAACCAUUUUACGUCCCUAUGACCUAUAAGGUCCCUUCCAACCCAACCACUCUGUGAUCCAUAAGGACCCUUCCAAACCCACCCAACCCAACCACACUACAGCUCUGUGACCCACACAGUCCCUUCCAACCCAACCACUCUACAACUCUAUGAUCUAUGAGGUCCCUUCCAACCCAACCCAUGGCUCUGCAAUCCAUAAAGUCGACCUAUAAGACCCCUUCCCACUCAACCCAACCAUUUUACGUCCCUAUGACCUACAAGGCCCCUUCCAACCCAACCACUCUAUGAUCUAUGAG